GAUUUCUGAUAUGAUACACUUAGCCCGCUGCGGUUACGUAUGUGAGUGCUGAUGUGUGUCUAUCAUCCUUCUAGAAAACAUAUCUACUCUUAACUGAGCCGGGUAUGCAAUCUAGAUCUUUUACUUUGAAAAAAUUAGAGUGUUUAAAGCAGGCUUUUGCUAUGAAUACAUUAGCAUGGAAUAAUAAUCUAGGACUUCGGUUCUAUUUUGUUGGUUUCUAUAACUGAAGUAAUGAUUGAUAGGGAUAGUUGGGGGUGCUAGUAUUGGCCGGCCAGAGGUGAAAUUCUUGGAUUCGGUCAAGACUAACUUAUGCGAAAGCAUU
rnacentral:rRNA from 1 species